GGGACUGUGACUCAGUGGUAGAGUAUCUGCUUGGUAUGCAGAAGAUCCCGGGUUCAAUCCCCAGCACCUCCA
rnacentral:tRNA from 1 species